GGGUAUGGACCACCACCACCUCAACCACAAGGAUACCCUCCACCGGGGAUGCCAUCACCACCAGGGCUUUACGGUGGAGGCGGCUACCCUCCUCCACCACCACCUCCUGGACCCCACAGUUAUCAAGGCUACUUUAAUGAUCAAUACCCUCCACCACCACCUCAGCACAUCUACCAUGACCAGGGUGGUGGCUAUUAUCAUGGUGAUGACAAUGGCUGUUCUUCAUUCCUAAAAGGGUGGUAUGUCAUCUCUCACUCUCUU
rnacentral:lncRNA from 1 species